rnacentral:rRNA from 1 species
ACGAACACUUCGGUGUUAGUGGCGCACGGGUGCGUAACGCGUGGGAAUCUACCCUUGGGUUCGGAAUAACUUCGGGAAACUGAAGCUAAUACCGGAUGAUGACGUAAGUCCAAAGAUUUAUCGCCCAAGGAUGAGCCCGCGUAGGAUUAGCUAGUUGGUGAGGUAAAGGCUCACCAAGGCUACGAUCCUUAGCUGGUCUGAGAGGAUGAUCAGCCAUACUGGGACUGAGACACGGCCCAGACUCCUACGGGAGGCAGCAGUAGGGAAUAUUGGACAAUGGGCGAAAGCCUGAUCCAGCAAUGCCGCGUGAGCGAUGAAGGCCUUAGGGUUGUAAAGCUCUUUUACCCGGGAUGAUAAUGACAGUACCGGGAGAAUAAGCCCCGGCUAACUCCGUGCCAGCAGCCGCG